UAUACAGGGUGUAUAAAAAAAAAGGUAAUCGAACUUCAGCAUGCUAUUAUACGUGAAUCACUCGGCGUAUGAACAAUUGGUUUUCAUAUUUGGAAAGAUCAGGCUUUUAGCUGUUGAAUGACAUGCGUUUCAUACCAAGUGGAGAAAAAAUAAGCAUGUACGAGGCCGAUCAAAAAUGUUGGUCAAAAUCGCAUAUUUUCACCUCUGUGCCUAAUUAAAACAAUGCAUAACAAAAGAAAA